rnacentral:rRNA from 1 species
UCGGGAAUUUUGGGCAAUGGGGGAAACCCUGACCCAGCAACGCCGCGUGAAGGAUGAAGUAUUUCGGUAUGUAAACUUCGAAAGAAUAGGAAGAAUAAAUGACGGUACUAUUUAUAAGGUCCGGCUAACUACGUGCCAGCAGCCGCGGUAAUACGUAGGGACCAAGCGUUGUUCGGAUUUACUGGGCGUAAAGGGCGCGUAGGCGGCAUGACAAGUCACUUGUGAAAUCUCUGGGCUUAACCCAGAACGGCCAAGUGAUACUGUCGCGCUAGAGUGCAGAAGGGGCAAUCGGAAUUCUUGGUGUAGCGGUGAAAUGCGUAGAUAUCAAGAGGAACACCUGAGGUGAAGACGGGUUGCUGGGCUGACACUGACGCUGAGGCGCGAAAGCCAGGGGAGCAAACGGGAUUAGAUACCCCUGUAGUCCCUGAGCGGGCUGGCAAGGCGCAU